CGAAAGCCUGACGGAGCAAUACCGCGUGAGGGAGGAAGGCUCUUGGGUUGUAAACCUCAAAACUUAGGGAAGAAAAAAAUGACGGUACCUAAUCUAAGCAUCGGCUAACUCCGUGCCAGCAGCCGCGGUAAUACGGAGGAUGCAAGCGUUAUCCGGAAUUAUUGGGCGUAAAGCGUUCGUAGGCGGCUAGUCAAGUCUGCUGUCAAAGACCGAAGCUUAACUUCGGACGGGCAGUGGAAACUGAAAAGCUAGAGUACAGAAGGGGUAGAGGGAAUUCCCAGUGUAGCGGUGAAAUGCGUAGAGAUUGGGAAGAACACCAGUGGCGAAGGCGCUCUACUGAGCUUGUACUGACGCUGAGGGACGAAAGCUAGGGUAGCG
rnacentral:rRNA from 1 species